GGUCGUAUGUGUGGCGCCAUCUACUGGAACGUUUAGGAGUGACAUCACAUAUAUGGCGAC
rnacentral:pre_miRNA from 1 species